CCACAGCCAGGUUGGCCCUUCGGGGGAUGCCUGGACGCUGAUAAGCCAGUAGUGCAGCGCUACGGGAAAAUACCGGCAGCC
rnacentral:ncRNA from 1 species